GACGAACGCUGGCGGCGUGCUUAACACAUGCAAGUCGAACGGAAAGGCCCUGCUUUUGUGGGGUGCUCGAGUGGCGAACGGGUGAGUAACACGUGAGUAACCUGCCCUUGACUUUGGGAUAACUUCAGGAAACUGGGGCUAAUACCGGAUAGGAGCUCUUGCUGCAUGGUGGGGGUUGGAAAGUUUCGGCGGUUGGGGAUGGACUAGCGGCUUAUCCGCUUGUUGGUGGGGUAGUGGCUUACCAAGGCUUUGACGGGUAGCCGGCCUGGGAGGGUGACCGGCCACAUUGGGACUGAGAUACGGCCCAGACUCCUACGGGAGGCAGCAGUGGGGAAUAUUGCACAAUGGGCGGAAGCCUGAUGCAGCGACGCCGCGUGCGGGAUGACGGCCUUCGGGUUGUAAACCGCUUUCGCCUGUGACGAGGCGUGAGUGACGGUAAUGGGUAAAGAAGCACCGGCUAACUACGUG
rnacentral:rRNA from 1 species